GGUUAAGCGACUAAGCGUACACGGUGGAUGCCCUGGCAGUCAGAGGCGAUGAAGGACGUGCUAAUCUGCGAUAAGCGUCGGUAAGGUGAUAUGAACCGUUAUAACCGGCGAUUUCCGAAUGGGGAAACCCAGUGUGUUUCGACACACUAUCAUUAACUGAAUCCAUAGGUUAAUGAGGCGAACCGGGGGAACUGAAACAUCUAAGUACCCCGAGGAAAAGAAAUCAACCGAGAUUCCCCCAGUAGCGGCGAGCGAACGGGGAGCAGCCCAGAGUCUGAAUCAGUGUGUGUGUUAGUGGAAGCGUCUGGAAAGGCGCGCGAUACAGGGUGACAGCCCCGUACACAAAAAUGCACAUGCUGUGAGCUCGAUGAGUAGGGCGGGACACGUGGUAUCCUGUCUGAAUAUGGGGGGACCAUCCUCCAAGGCUAAAUACUCCUGACUGACCGAUAGUGAACCAGUACCGUGAGGGAAAGGCGAAAAGAACCCCGGCGAGGGGAGUGAAAAAGAACCUGAAACCGUGUACGUACAAGCAGUGGGAGCCUCUUUAUGGGGUGACUGCGUACCUUUUGUAUAAUGGGUCAGCGACUUAUAUUCUGUAGCAAGGUUAACCGAAUAGGGGAGCCGAAGGGAAACCGAGUCUUAACUGGGCGUUAAGUUGCAGGGUAUAGACCCGAAACCCGGUGAUCUAGCCAUGGGCAGGUUGAAGGUUGGGUAACACUAACUGGAGGACCGAACCGACUAAUGUUGAAAAAUUAGCGGAUGACUUGUGGCUGGGGGUGAAAGGCCAAUCAAACCGGGAGAUAGCUGGUUCUCCCCGAAAGCUAUUUAGGUAGCGCCUCGUGAAUUCAUCUCCGGGGGUAGAGCACUGUUUCGGCAAGGGGGUCAUCCCGACUUACCAACCCGAUGCAAACUGCGAAUACCGGAGAAUGUUAUCACGGGAGACACACGGCGGGUGCUAACGUCCGUCGUGAAGAGGGAAACAACCCAGACCGCCAGCUAAGGUCCCAAAGUCAUGGUUAAGUGGGAAACGAUGUGGGAAGGCCCAGACAGCCAGGAUGUUGGCUUAGAAGCAGCCAUCAUUUAAAGAAAGCGUAAUAGCUCACUGGUCGAGUCGGCCUGCGCGGAAGAUGUAACGGGGCUAAACCAUGCACCGAAGCUGCGGCAGCGACGCUGAUGCGUUGUUGGGUAGGGGAGCGUUCUGUAAGCCUGCGAAGGUGUGCUGUGAGGCAUGCUGGAGGUAUCAGAAGUGCGAAUGCUGACAUAAGUAACGAUAAAGCGGGUGAAAAGCCCGCUCGCCGGAAGACCAAGGGUUCCUGUCCAACGUUAAUCGGGGCAGGGUGAGUCGACCCCUAAGGCGAGGCCGAAAGGCGUAGUCGAUGGGAAACAGGUUAAUAUUCCUGUACUUGGUGUUACUGCGAAGGGGGGACGGAGAAGGCUAUGUUGGCCGGGCGACGGUUGUCCCGGUUUAAGCGUGUAGGCUGGUUUUCCAGGCAAAUCCGGAAAAUCAAGGCUGAGGCGUGAUGACGAGGCACUACGGUGCUGAAGCAACAAAUGCCCUGCUUCCAGGAAAAGCCUCUAAGCAUCAGGUAACAUCAAAUCGUACCCCAAACCGACACAGGUGGUCAGGUAGAGAAUACCAAGGCGCUUGAGAGAACUCGGGUGAAGGAACUAGGCAAAAUGGUGCCGUAACUUCGGGAGAAGGCACGCUGAUAUGUAGGUGAAGCGACUUGCUCGUGGAGCUGAAAUCAGUCGAAGAUACCAGCUGGCUGCAACUGUUUAUUAAAAACACAGCACUGUGCAAACACGAAAGUGGACGUAUACGGUGUGACGCCUGCCCGGUGCCGGAAGGUUAAUUGAUGGGGUCAGCGCAAGCGAAGCUCUUGAUCGAAGCCCCGGUAAACGGCGGCCGUAACUAUAACGGUCCUAAGGUAGCGAAAUUCCUUGUCGGGUAAGUUCCGACCUGCACGAAUGGCGUAAUGAUGGCCAGGCUGUCUCCACCCGAGACUCAGUGAAAUUGAACUCGCUGUGAAGAUGCAGUGUACCCGCGGCAAGACGGAAAGACCCCGUGAACCUUUACUAUAGCUUGACACUGAACAUUGAGCCUUGAUGUGUAGGAUAGGUGGGAGGCUUAGAAGUGUGGACGCCAGUCUGCAUGGAGCCGACCUUGAAAUACCACCCUUUAAUGUUUGAUGUUCUAACGUUGACCCGUAAUCCGGGUUGCGGACAGUGUCUGGUGGGUAGUUUGACUGGGGCGGUCUCCUCCUAAAGAGUAACGGAGGAGCACGAAGGUUGGCUAAUCCUGGUCGGACAUCAGGAGGUUAGUGCAAUGGCAUAAGCCAGCUUGACUGCGAGCGUGACGGCGCGAGCAGGUGCGAAAGCAGGUCAUAGUGAUCCGGUGGUUCUGAAUGGAAGGGCCAUCGCUCAACGGAUAAAAGGUACUCCGGGGAUAACAGGCUGAUACCGCCCAAGAGUUCAUAUCGACGGCGGUGUUUGGCACCUCGAUGUCGGCUCAUCACAUCCUGGGGCUGAAGUAGGUCCCAAGGGUAUGGCUGUUCGCCAUUUAAAGUGGUACGCGAGCUGGGUUUAGAACGUCGUGAGACAGUUCGGUCCCUAUCUGCCGUGGGCGCUGGAGAACUGAGGGGGGCUGCUCCUAGUACGAGAGGACCGGAGUGGACGCAUCACUGGUGUUCGGGUUGUCAUGCCAAUGGCACUGCCCGGUAGCUAAAUGCGGAAGAGAUAAGUGCUGAAAGCAUCUAAGCACGAAACUUGCCCCGAGAUGAGUUCUCCCUGACUCCUUGAGAGUCCUGAAGGAACGUUGAAGACGACGACGUUGAUAGGCCGGGUGUGUAAGCGCAGCGAUGCGUUGAGCUAACCGGUACUAAUGAACCGUGAGGCUUAACCUU
rnacentral:rRNA from 1 species